CAUCUAAGCAUGAAGCCCCCUUCAAGAUGAGAUUUCCCAUUACGCAAGUAAGUAAGAUCCCUCAAAGAUGAUGAGGUGGAUAGGUCUGGGGUGUAAGUACGGCGACGUGUGUAGCUGACAGAUACUAAUCGAUCGAGGACUUAACCUAUUAU
rnacentral:rRNA from 1 species